ensembl:lncRNA
CCAGCCCACUUGGGCUAAGUAGGAAUGUGCAGUAUGUAUUACUCACUGGCCGGCACUCGGCUCUACUCCUUGGCUGGGCAGCACUUUCACUUUGCUGUUCUCCAUGAGGCUUUCAGGCUGCUGAGUGUUGUUAACCAUUGUCCUCCCUGACGGUCAUGGCAGGUUUCCUGCUGGUGCCCACUCCUUCACUGCGUUGAGAGAAAAAUCUCAUGACUCAUUUGUCUGCCCUGUAAUGAAAACACGUGGUUCUGAUGCAUUUGCUUAUAACUUUUGCUAGCUGAGCCUUUGUAAUUAAUUACAUCAUAGAAAAGUCUUGGGGAGAAAUUUGCGAUUUCAUUGUUCUGUUCCUUCAUUUCUUUCUUUUAAACCAUUUCACAAUUCUUACCUGGUUUUCAAUUUAAUGAGCAAAUUCCAUCCACUGCCGACAGAGGGUUAGUGCAGCCUUGUGCAGCACCAGAGCUGUACAAAGGGUUAUUGGGAAGCCCUCCUUGGAGUCACACCUUGUUGGCUCAAUAUGCCCUCAGGCAGAGUUCUCUCCAGCAGAAUUCAUCCACAUGCCUUCAUCUGCACUUGCAGUAACCACAGGUAAGCAACAAGUAAUAAAUUUAAUUCUAGUGAUAUCUGCAGUUAAAAUGUUGUUCUAACCCUUUGCCGGGUGAUAUGUUUUACCUAUCAAACACCUCUGAAAUGAAAGGGUAUUUCUCACUACUUUCUAUCUUAGCAAUACUACUGUACUUAACAUAAAGUUCUGUUCUCUGUAGAUACCUGAGAGACAGCAGUGUCCCAGCUUGAGGUCAGAGAAGUUUCGUUUUGUUUUUAAGUAGCGAUAGCAUUUUCUUAUUUCUAGAACAGUCGAUGACAGAUACAUCUGCUUCCAAGCAGAUGGGCAGUUUUUCUGACAAUUCAGCAAACAGAAGGCAGGUGCAAGGAUUUUUGGCAAUAGGAAGUUUGUGCGACUUGUUACUAUUAAAAGAAACAAAAAGCAAAGUGCAGUUAAAUGGUGGUCUUGCAUCACAGCCCGAGCUUCAUGCUGAACUCCAUGAUAAAUAUUUAGGGGAGCACAGAACAAACCAGCAUAGCAAGAGUUGUGUUUCCCCAUCUGACUUUCUUAACGUAAUUGGAGGAGGCCCAACUCUUGAGAAGGCAGUUUAUUAACUUGAAAAAGCUUGUGCAUGUAGAACAGUGACUCCCUAUUUCUACGAAGGAAAAAAAACAACCAGUCAGUGGGGACAGCAGCCCUAGGAUAGCUCAUGCUGGACGCCAGGCUUGCCCAGCUGCUGAAGGUUGUGGGGGUUGCUUUGUUGAGCGGGAUGUGGUUGGUGUCAGUGUCACCACUUCUUCCCUGGGAAACACAAAGACCCCGGUUAAUUAAGGGAACCAAACUCCUCAAAGUUGGGUAUUUCGUAUUACACCCUGAGCACAGCCACUGUCUGGGCUGAAAUGGACAGAGCUGCGUAAACGCAAAUCGCUCGGUAUACGAAGGCAGAUGUUAGAUUGCACUGUUAGUUACUGUGUUGUUUGAUAUUGUUUCCAAAUGCGCAGAAGCUUCUUUCUAAGCUUAUCGCUGCACCAGCAGCUGAGAUUAAAAUGCAAGAAGUACUUGCAAUCAAACCAGUUUAAUUCAUGUAUAUUUGUACAAUU